UACGUAGGGUGCGAGCGUUGUCCGGAAUUAUUGGGCGUAAAGAGCUCGUAGGCGGUUUGUCGCGUCGGCCGUGAAAACUUGGGGCUUAACUCCAAGCUUGCGGUCGAUACGGGCAGACUUGAGUUCGGCAGGGGAGACUGGAAUUCCUGGUGUAGCGGUGAAAUGCGCAGAUAUCAGGAGGAACACCGGUGGCGAAGGCGGCUCUCUGGACGGUGACUGACGCUGAGACGCGAAAGCGUGGGGAGCAAACAGG
rnacentral:rRNA from 1 species